rnacentral:tRNA from 16 species
GGGCCGUUAGCUCAGUUGGUAGAGCAGCUGACUCUUAAUCAGCGGGCCGUAGGUUCGAAUCCUACACGGCCCACCA